UACAGAGGUCUCAAGCGUUGUUCGGAUUCAUUGGGCGUAAAGGGUGCGUAGGCGGCGCGGUAAGUCGGGUGUGAAAUCUCGGGGCUUAACUCCGAAACUGCAUUCGAUACUGCCGUGCUCGAGUACUGGAGAGGAGACUGGAAUUUACGGUGUAGCAGUGAAAUGCGUAGAUAUCGUAAGGAAGACCGGUGGCGAAGGCUAGUCUCUGGACAGUUACUGACACUGAGGCACGAAGGCCAGGGGAGCAAACGGG
rnacentral:rRNA from 1 species